rnacentral:rRNA from 1 species
CAGUAGCCGCGGUAACACGUAGGGUGCGAGCGUUAAUCGGAAUUACUGGGCGUAAAGCGUGCGCAGGCGGUUGUGUAAGACAGGUGUGAGAUCCCCGGGCUUAACCUGGGAACUGCGCUUGUGACUGCACAGCUAGAGUAUGGCAGAGGGGGGUGGAAUUCCACAUGUAGCAGUGAAAUGCGUAGAGAUGUGGAGGAACACCGAUGGCGAAGGCAGCCCCCUGGGCCAAUACUGACGCUCAUGCACGAAAGCGUGGGGAGCAAACAGGAUUAGAUACCCCCGUAGUCCCUGUCUCUUAUAC